GGGCGGUUAGCUCAGUUUGGUAGAGCACAUGACUUACAUUCAUGUGGCCGUAGGUUCAAGUCCUGCACCGCCCA
rnacentral:tRNA from 1 species